GACGAACGCUGGCGGCGUGCUUAACACAUGCAAGUCGAACGGUAAGGCCCUUCGGGGUACACGAGUGGCGAACGGGUGAGUAACACGUGGGUGAUCUGCCCUGCACUUCGGGAUAAGCCUGGGAAACUGGGUCUAAUACCGGAUAGGACCACUGCCUGCAUGGGUGGGGGUGGAAAGCUUUUGCGGUGUGGGAUGGGCCCGCGGCCUAUCAGCUGGUUGGUGGGGUGAUGGCAUAGCAAGGCGACGACGGGUGGCCGGCCUGGGAGGGUGACCGGCCACGGUGGGCCGUAGAGACGGCCCAGGCUCGCAGGGAAGGCAGCAGGGGGGAAGAUGGUACAAUGGGCGCAAGCCUGAUGGAGCGACGCCGAGUGAGGGAUGACGGCCUUCGGGUUGUAGACCUCUGUCAGCAGCGACGAGGCGCAAGUGGCGGUAGGUGCAGAAGAAGGACCGGCCAACUACGUGCCAGCAGCCGCCGCGG
rnacentral:rRNA from 1 species